UGAACAAAGAAAAUAUAAUUCAACAUGUCAUGAAGUGGAGGAAAGAUUAUUGGAGCUUGGAUACUUUCGAUGCUGAAAGGCCCAGUAAAACUGUCUUGAGAAAGGUAGGGUUCAAGCCAAGGUGGGUGGUGCAUGCCUGUAAUCUCAGCGCUUAGGAGGAGGAAGCAGCGGGAGAAAGAGUUCAAGAACAGCCACAGCUAUAUAGUGAAUUCAAGGACACUCUGGGCUGCGUGAGACCCUGUCUCAGCAACAACAACAACAGCAACACACACACCUGAAUGACUUACUGACCGAGAAAACGUCUGGCUUUGUUCAAGUUUUCUAAGUUGACCUUCUGCCUCAGUCUCUCAAAUGCUGGAUUACAGGCGCGUUUCAUCAAGGCCAACCAGGUGACAAGAGGAUGAACUAGGAGAGACCCUUGAAGACUCCAAGUUUGGAAAGAGCAGUGUCUUCUUGGCCCCACCAUUUGGCACUUCCCUGUUGAAGUUGCUCCCCGCAUUGAGUCGGUCCUAUGCAACAGUCUGUUCAGAAAGCUACAGAACACUGGCAAUUCUGAAAGCAAGCUCAUUUUAUAU